rnacentral:rRNA from 1 species
AUGACUCUCGGCAACGGAUAUCUUGGUCCUCGCAUCGAUGAAGAACGUAGCGAAAUGCGAUACUUGGUGUGAAUUGCAGAAUCCCGUGAACCAUCGAGUUUUUGAACGCAAAUUGCGCCCUAAGCUUCCGGGCCGAGGGCAAGCCUGCGUGGG